ACACCUGGUAACACCUCACACCCUACAUCAGGUAACAUCUCACACCCUACAUCAUGUAACACCUCACACCCUACAUCACGUAACACCUCACACCUUACAUCAGGUAACACCUCACACCUUACAUCAGGUAACAUCUCACACCUUACAUCAGGUAACACCCUCACACCCUACAUCAGGUAACAUCUCACACCCUACAUCAGGUAACAUCUCACACCUUACAUCAGGUAACACCUCACACCCUACAUCAGGUAACACCUCACACCUUACAUCAGGUAACAUCUCACACCUUACAUCAGGUAACACCUCACACCUUACAUCAGGUAACAUCUCACACCUUACAUCAGGUAACACCUCACACCUUACAUCAGGUAACACCUCACACCCUACAUCAGGUAACAUCCUCACACCUU